UGUGGAAAGGGAAUCAGGGCUCUCCAUCACUUCAGAAGCUACCUGACAAGCAAGGGACAGCACUGCAGUCAAGGAAAAUCCAAGACCAGGCCCUCACAUCUGCUGUUCCAGCACUUCAAAAAGGUGUCCAAAAUGCAAAAAGUCAUGACAAAAUUAGUAUCCAGAAAAACUGUUGAUCACAGCCUGAACCUCUGAUCAACCACCUGAAGCAAGCAAUCAGGUGAAGGUAAUUCAGCUGUGCUAUCGGAAGGGGUAGAGCUUGACUCCACCUCUCCUAGAUCUCAUUUAAGGGCUGACCAGCACUAAGGCUGGUUCUCUUUCUCUGGAGGUUACUCCUUUGUGGAAUUUACUGCGAACCUUCAACAUUGGCAACACAAGUCAUUAUUAAGCUGCUUGCUAACAGCAGCUAACUGCUUGGAUGCUGCUGGACAUCUCCCGGAGGGUGUUUUGGGCACCAAAAAGGCUCUUCUCACUACAGGAGCUGUUAGGUGGCAGAGGCGGGCUCAGACUGAUAAGAUUACUGAUACGGAGUAAAACUGGUGCACUCAGAGAAUGUGCUCAUUAAGCAGGAAUCUUAAGAAGUUGGAGAUAUUUGCCUAAUGCCCUCCUCCUCCUCCCCACUGUCUUAUGAAGCAGAGGGACCAAGGAGGGGAUAAAACUGUCACCGUGAAAGGAAAUUAGUUCCUCGAACUCAUUUCACCAUGCUUUCUGCUUUUUGGCCAAGUAUUUUUACAUGCUUAUAUUCAGGACUUCCUUGUUCCUUAUUUAUUGUUAAUUAAAAUAAUGGUAACUGCCAUUUCAAGGGGUGGAAAUAAGAGGGAGUGGGCACAAAAUGACUGCCUGUCACAGAUGGGUAUCCUCUCCCUCUUCUGAUGGAGCAAGUCAGAAGCCCAGGCACCCAGCACAUCAGUUUGGGGUUGGGGUUUUGAGUCACAUUUGUAAAAUAUAAUCCUAAUAAGCUCAAAUGUGGCCACAGAGGACAUAGAUUUAGGAAAAUGAACAUCUUUCACCACAGAGUUCUGGUGUUUGACAGGAGCUGGUUCACUCCCCAACAGAUGUGGUACCACCUAGAAAGUAGCACCUGGAAAUUUAAACUGGGGCUGUUAUAAUUUGGUUUAUGUAUAACUUGUUUUGAUUCCAUUUUUUCUCCAAAAUUCCUUUGGGAAAGUAUUGAAAGAUAAGGAUGGAUUCCCAGCUCUGUGGCUGACCCCUUCCCGUGCAGCACAUCCUCUCUAUGGGGAGCUUUCUUUCACCAUGUCUCAUCUGUCUCAUCUGCAAAAGAUAACAUGCAAACACGCUGCUAGUAUUCAAAGAACUCUGAAAUAUCAGCUCACAUUACCACUCUAUAACAAAGCAAAAAGACCACAGAUUACAGCUUGUGACACUGGGCAUUUCCCAACCCUGUGGCUCACCCAAAGAAGUAAUACCA